rnacentral:rRNA from 1 species
CGCUGGAGGUAUCAGAAGUGCGAAUGCUGACAUAAGUAACGAUAAAGCGGGUGAAAAGCCCGCUCGCCGGAAGACCAAGGGUUCCUGUCCAACGUUAAUCGGGGCAGGGUGAGUCGACCCCUAAGGCGAGGCCGAAAGGCGUAGUCGAUGGGAAACAGGUUAAUAUUCCUGUACUUGGUGUUACUGCGAAGGGGGGACGGAGAAGGCUAUGUUGGCCGGGCGACGGUUGUCCCGGUUUAAGCGUGUAGGCUGGUUUUCCAGGCAAAUCCGGAAAAUCAAGGCUGAGGCGUGAUGACGAGGCACUACGGUGCUGAAGCAACAAAUGCCCUGCUUCCAGGAAAAGCCUCUAAGCAUCAGGUAACAUCAAAUCGUACCCCAAACCGACACAGGUGGUCAGGUAGAGAAUACCAAGGCGCUUGAGAGAACUCGGGUGAAGGAACUAGGCAAAAUGGUGCCGUAACUUCGGGAGAAGGCACGCUGAUAUGUAGGUGAAGCGACUUGCUCGUGGAGCUGAAAUCAGUCGAAGAUACCAGCUGGCUGCAACUGUUUAUUAAAAACACAGCACUGUGCAAACACGAAAGUGGACGUAUACGGUGUGACGCCUGCCCGGUGCCGGAAGGUUAAUUGAUGGGGUCAGCGCAA